ensembl:lncRNA
GAGGCCUGGGCUGAGGGAGGAGGGAGCCCGCCGUAUUCGGCUGGGUCUGUUUUUUCCUUUCUGCUCUCAGGAGAAGAAGCACGUUUGCCAUGGGUUUUGUUCAGUGAACAGCCUGCACAACGGUGACCCACAGCCCUGACCGGGGCGGGAAGAAAGAUGGAUCCUAAAGGCUGUAGAAGAUGAAGGCUCACAAGAAACUGAGAUAAGAGAAGAGUCCAGGCUAAGUGGUUGCUCUGCUUCCUACUGUGGUUGCAAGUUCUUCCAAUCACCGUUACUUCUGUCUUGUUGCUUUGCCAUCUCCUGGGAGUGACUGUGCCCUCAUCCAUAUCGUCGAAGCCAGGGCAAACCACAUGGACAAUCAGCCCCUUGGAAGGGGAAAGAGGAGGGCCGACUAUUAAGCAACUGGAAAGUGGAUAUGAUGGCGGGAGCUGAAGCAGCCAUCUGACAUCACAGGAUGGAAGCUAUGUUUCCAGAAUAGCAGAGCAAAUAAGAGGAAACUGGGUCUCCAGCAUCAAGGAGUUACAUACCAACUCUGGAAAACCGAUGCUCAGACUUGUAUCAGGAAAAUUAACUUCCCAUUCUCAUGUCUCUUUUUUUCAGCAGCCUCAAUUGUAUCUUUUUUCUUUCUUUCUUUCUUUUCAGGGCUGUACCUGCAGCAUAUGGAAGUUCCAAGGCUAGGAGUCGAAUGGGAGCUUCAACUGCCAGCCUCAGCCAUAGCCACAGCAAUGCCAGAUCCUAGACAAGUCUGAGAUGUACACUGCAGCACACAGCAAUGCUGAAUCCUUAACCCACUGCCUGGGGCCAGGGUUCAAACCAGCAUCCUCAUGGAUACUAGUCGGAUUCAUUACUGCUGAGCCAUAACAGGAAUUCCUCAACUGUAUCUUAACUAAUAAAUCCCUAUUUGCAACUGAGUCUGUGGCCCUUGGCUUAAUUGGAAUUGAAGUAUAAAGGAAAAACAAUUUAUAAUUUGCAAGUUAUUUUUCCACGUAAACGGGACCUAUGUGGCCAGCAUCAAAUGGCAAAGCAAAUUGCACUGACAACUGAGAGGAGGCAUAAUUGUCAUUAUAGUUAAAGCAGUAUUGGAAGACCCUGGCCAUAUCUCUCAGGCUCUGUUUGUAGGUGGUGCAAUUUUCUGGCUGUGGAUGGUUUGUCUACGUGACUCCUGAGGGGCUGCUAUUGCCACAGCAACAUGUCUGGGGUCCACAGGCCACACUCUCUUCUCUUCUUCAUCUUUGAAGGCCACACUUAAGCAGGCAGCCCUCCCACGUUUUCUCGGCACUGACCACUGAGUUGAAGAGAAGUAGAAACUUCUCGGUUGGUAUUGUUCUGACUCCUAGGGGUCCAAGAGAGGCUCCCUGGUACUGAGCAUGAAACAAUUGGGGAUCCUCACAGUUUCAAUCUGAUCAGAACCCGCUGUACUAGAGGAGGGUAAAGGUCAGUUAUGAAAAUGAUCUAUGAUAAAAAAAGAACCUACUAAUUCCCCAGAGGCAGGUGCCAAAAAUGACAUGUUAUUGUGUUCUUUAGAAUGAUGAAGGAGAGUAUUGAAUGAGAUUUGGGUAAUAAUAAUGCCAAACUGUUUAGCUUGCCUGUGACAGAGCUCCCCAAACCAGUACUAUUUGGGGAAAUAGCAGGAGAACAGAAAAAACAAUUAAUGAGCACUUGAUGUGCCAUAAAUGUUAUGUAUGUUUUCUCAUGUAAUUAUCUCAAAAAUCCUAUGAGAUAGUAUAACUGCUUUUUUUUUUAAUUUUCUUAAAGCAGACAUGCUAAGAAAAGUUAAUGUGACAAAGAUCACACAGGAAGUAAAAAGCCUGGAUUUGGACACUCGAGUGACUGAUCUACAUUCCAUAUCAUGCAGUCUCAUGGAUGUGCUAAGGCUGGCCUGAUCAGAAGAAGGAGGCAUGGACAAAACUGCAGAGAAUAGAGGUAUCUGGGUGAGGAUGGCAGCCAGUAAUAGAUUCAGGAAAACAAGAAAAGAAAGUGGGAGAGAGACAUGUUGAAAAGACUGUACACCUGCAUGAGAUCAUCUUAAGGCCCCUACACGGUACAGAUCAAGAUGCAUGCAACUCUCUGGUCCCUGAGGAAGAAGGGAUUCUGGAAGAGCAAGGUGGUAGAUACACAUGGGGAGGGAUUACCCGGCAGCGAGAUGAGAUAAAUCUGAAAAGAUAAAUUUUACUAUGCUCUUUACAUUGAAGGAUAUUGCUGAUUAAUUGAUGGGUAUGAUUUGGAGUAGAGAAGGAAUUACAAAUUAAUACUUUGCCAGACAGAGGCGUUACCUUUUCUGCUUAUUUAAAUAAAUAUGCUUU